GGGUUGAGCCAGGCUUUCAUUCUGCAGUGUCUUUGAGGAGGAACAAAAGUAGGAGAUUCAACUGAGAAGAGGAAAACUGAUGCAGAAGGAGGAGCGAGGGGAGUUGUCAGAACGGGGAGAGAUCAGGAGAGAAAGAGUGGGGGAUGACACAUGGACAACAGCGGCUGACCCCUGCCUACCAGAAACGUGCAGAGACAAAGACGAGGUUGUAAGGCAGCUGACAGACUGGUCUCCAGCCCCUGGAUAAGAUCCACGCUUCAUGUCAGCUAGGGAGAACGGAAGAAGAAAAGAAGUUUUCGGAGCUCAAUUCUGUGAGAUGUUAUUACUACCAACCCCGUUACAGACGGAGAAACUGAGGCACAGAAGAGUGAAGCACCUUGCAAGUGGCACUUGGAACUUGGAGAACCCUGCAGUAGGAUUGUCCAGGUCCUCUGAAUCUGUAUUUUAAAGCCCAUGUGGAACCCCCAGGCUGGAGCCUGGCACAUGGGACAGUGAAGAGGAAAAGGUGAAGGAGACAGAGGAAGCCCAGAUGGAGACCAAGAGACUCAUCCCUCCUGAGGAUCUACUGAUGCUUCUCUCCUGGCACAAUGAGAAGGGGUUGGCACCUUGUGAUGGACUCUCUUUGUUUGCUUAUCUGUGCUUUAAGGAGCCCAGUUUCACCUUCCUCUCCCUGGCCCUCAGGACACAGGAUAUACUCUGUACCAAUGGGUGAUAAAUGGACAUGAUACCAUGGAUGUUCCCGUCCUAUAUUCCAUUUCCUAAAGGGGAAUUCUCUUAAUUGCAGUUUUGUCUUGUUUUCCUUCUACUAUUGCACAUUGGGUAGGUUGGUGGUGGUAUAACCUAAUUGCUUAGUCCACAGCUGCCAGCUGGAAGGCGGCCAUACCUGGUCCAGGCACUGUGCUAGGUGUAGACACACAGAAGUGAGUGAGAUAGUCGUGCAGCUCAUGGUUCCAUGAAGACAGCAAGUCCCAAGAGGUACUCCCGCCCUUCUCCAUGGAGUGAAAGCUGCAGCAGAAGUUAGGAGAUGUGAUGUAAUGAGAGAAAGAAGCCAGUGGGGAGAGUGGUACCCACCAAAUACCGUCACAACAAACCCCAAUAUGGCUCAGCCAAUUAUGUCAUAAAUCAGUAUUUCCAAAAGCCAGACACUAGCUCAUUUACAGAAUAAGCACAUUCAAGGUAUUAAGAUCCUGAACUGUAUUCCAGAGUUCCAUUACUGAGGAUUUGACACAAAUCUUCACCUGUGGGUGAGUAGACCUUUGAGUCUUCUGGGAGGUAGGAUGGGAGGGACCCCACCCUACAGAACUGAGAGAGCUCACGAUGUUCUUGACAAGUGAAUGGGAGACAGGGAUUCACAGGAAACAUCAAACCACCCAGCACUAUCUGCUCUCCUUGGAGCCCCUGCAGCCUUUUAGCAAUAUUCAAGCCAAAUCUAAUUUAGGCUGGCACAUCCAACGGGUCACGGCUUCUUGUAAUACAGCCUCAAAAAUCUCCACCUUUCUCCCUGACUCACCCUCGAUGUGUUGAAAAUGCAAAGAUGGCAA